rnacentral:rRNA from 1 species
UGGGGAAUAUUGCACAAUGGGCGCAAGCCUGAUGCAGCGACGCCGCGUGGGGGAUGACGGCCUUCGGGUUGUAAACCCCUUUCGGCAGGGAACAAGCCCCUUGGGGUGAGGGUACCUGCGGAAGAAGCGCCGGCUAACUACGUGCCAGCAGCCGCGGUAAUACGUAGGGCGCGAGCGUUAUCCGGAAUUAUUGGGCGUAAAGAGCUCGUAGGCGGUUUGUCGCGUCUGCUGUGAAAGCCCGGGGCUCAACCCCGGGUCUGCAGUGGGUACGGGCAGGCUGGAGUGCAGUAGGGGAGACUGGAAUUCCUGGUGUAGCGGUGAAAUGCGCAGAUAUCAGGAGGAACACCGAUGGCGAAGGCAGGUCUCUGGGCUGUAACUGACGCUGAGGAGCGAAAGCAUGGGGAGCGAACAGG